rnacentral:rRNA from 1 species
UACGUAGGGCGCAAGCGUUGUCCGGAAUUAUUGGGCGUAAAGAGCUCGUAGGCGGUUUGUCGCGUCUGCUGUGAAAACCUAAGGCUCAACCUUGGGCUUGCAGUGGGUACGGGCAGACUAGAGUGCGGUAGGGUGACUGGAAUUCCUGGUGUAGCGGUGGAAUGCGCAGAUAUCAGGAGGGAACACCCGAUGGCGAAGGCAGGUCACUGG